GAUGAACGCUAGCGGCAGGCUUAACACAUGCAAGUCGAGGGGCAGCAUAAACAUUGCUUGCAAUGUUUGAUGGCGACCGGCGCACGGGUGCGUAACGCGUAUGCAACCUACCCAUAACAGGGGGAUAACACUGAGAAAUUGGUACUAAAUACCCCGUAAUAUUAUGAAAGGCAUCUUUUAUAGUUGAAAGUUCCGGCGGUUAUGGAUGGGCAUGCGUUGUAUUAGCUAGUUGGUGAGGUAACGGCUCACCAAGGCGACGAUACAUAGGGGGACUGAGAGGUUAACCCCCCCACAUUGGUACUGAGACACGGACCAAACUCCUACGGGAGGCAGCAGUGAGGAAUAUUGGUCAAUGGACGCAAGUCUGAACCAGCCAUGCCGCGUGCAGG
rnacentral:rRNA from 1 species